GAUGAACGCUGGCGGCGUGCUUAACACAUGCAAGUCGAACGGAAAGGCCCAAGCUUGCUUGGGUACUCGAGUGGCGAACGGGUGAGUAACACGUGGGUGAUCUGCCCUGCACUUCGGGAUAAGCCUGGGAAACUGGGUCUAAUACCGGAUAGGACGAUGGUUUGGAUGCCAUUGUGGAAAGUUUUUUCGGUGUGGGAUGAGCUCGCGGCCUAUCAGCUUGUUGGUGGGGUAAUGGCCUACCAAGGCGUCGACGGGUAGCCGGCCUGAGAGGGUGUACGGCCACAUUGGGACUGGGAUACGGCCCAGACUCCUACGGGAGGCAGCAGUGGGGAAUAUUGCACAAUGGGCGCAAGCCUGAUGCAGCGACGCCGCGUGGGGGAUGACGGCCUUCGGGUUGUAAACUCCUUUCGCUAGGGACGAAGCGUUUUAGUGACGGUACCUGGAGAAGAAGCACCGGCUAACUACGUG
rnacentral:rRNA from 1 species